rfam:Streptomyces avermitilis MA-4680 = NBRC 14893 DNA, complete genome.
GUACCGGACACGGGGUGCCCCAUCCGAGGGCUGAGAUCACACCCGUCGAACCUGAACCAGUUCGUACUGGCGGAGGGAUGUCUUCCAUGCCUUUG